rnacentral:lncRNA from 1 species
GCGCCGACCUUGAUCUCGUAGCCGGCGCCAGCAGCCGCGCUUUGGGGCGUCGGCUCACGUGGGGCCGGCAACGCGUCUUCCAGGAUGUUCGCGCGCUAGUCGCCGCUGAGGGGCCGGCGAUGCGCGAGGAGUUCCGGCGAGGAAGAGACGAGGUCUCACUAUGUUGGCCAGGUUGGUCUCGAAUUCCUGGCCGCAAGCCGUUCUCCAGUCUGGGCCUCCCAAAGUGCUAGGAUUACAGGAACAGAAUUGCCAUUGGGCCCAGGGAGAGACUACACUUCUUGUCUGCUUUGUUGCUAGUGCGGCCUUGUGGCCAAGCACAGAACGUGUGCAGUGAUGAUGGUGCAACUUCUAGGUCGUCCCCAGCAUGGAAAAUGAGCCCUGGGCAUGGAAGAUGAGCCCUGGUCCUGCAGCGGUGCUCUUUCCUCUUCUCACAAGCUGGAAUGUGCAUGUGCUCCCACCCAGCUUUGACCAUGGGGCGAAAACAGUACUCUGCAGUCUGGCAGAGCAACAAGGUGGAAAGGGCCUGGGUCCUUGAGUGACGUCAUGAGCCCUCUCACUGUCCCGACUUUGGGACUGUUAUAUGAUAAGGACUUUCUGUGAGUCACUGUCUUUUAGAGUCUCUCUGUUUUAGCUGCCUGGACUUUAUCCUGAAUAAUAUGGCUGUUAUCAUGGGUAUAGUGUUACUAUGAGCCUCAUCUAAGUAAUUUCUACUCUGCCUUUGACCACUAAACUCAUGUUGGACAAGAGUCACUUAGCAUUAUUUUUUCCUCAAUGAAGAGGUUAAGAUGGAGGGAGCAGGAGAAAUUGAGGCCUGUGUUUUACCAGAAGGUGAAGGGCUGUCUUUGCCUUUCCUACAUUUAUGAAGGAUAAUUCUAGACAAAAACAUUAAGUUCAUAUCAAACCAUCUGCUUUGUGAAGCCAUGGGCUUUGCUAGAACUUUCUGUGACAUGACAUUUAUUAACCCGAGUCUACCUGGAAGUUAGAGCUGAGGAAGUUUUCCUAGAGUGGAAAAAGUCCAAUGCACUUGUAAAAGUCAGACCAAGCUCAGCUCAGAUUUCAGUUUUAUUAGAAGUAUGUCACCUUCCUGAGCCCUUAUUAUUUCCCCAUCUGUGAAAUGAGGACACCGUUCUCUCUUUCUAAGCAUUGCUGGGAAGACCACACACCACUGAGACAGAAGGUGGGGCUAGCGCAGUUCUGGGCAUUUUGUACACCCCCAACAAAUACUGAUUUAUUUCCUUCUUUUUCCUUGCUCAGAAAAAAUUGGAGAAGGCUUUAUUUUAAAAUUCUGCCUGAAUUACUUUAUUUUAUUUAUUUAUUUAUUUAUUUUUUGGAGACAGAGUGUUGCUGUGUCACCCAGGCUGGAGUGCAGUGGUGCGAUCUCAGCUCACUGCAACCUCCUCCUGCUGGGUUCAAACGAUUCUCCUGCCUCAGCCUCCUGAGUAGCUGGGAUUAUGGGCGCCCACCACCAUGCCCAGCUAAUUUCUGUAUUUUUAGUAGAGACGGGGUUUUGCCACAUUGGCCAGGCUGGUCUCGAACUCCUGAUCUCACGUGAUCUGCCCACCUCAGCCUCCCAAAUUGCUGGGAUUACAGGCAUGAGCCACCAUGCCCAGCCCUUGAAUUACUUUAGAUCCUACUUUUUAAGAAAAUAUUUGGCCGGGCAUGGUGGCACACACCUGUAAUCGCAGCACUUUGGGGGCCUGAGUUGGGUGGAUCACUUGAGUCUAAGAGUUCGAGACCAGCCUGGCCAACAUGGCGAAACCCUAUCUCUACUAAAAAUACAAAAAUUAGCCGGGCAUGGUGGUGGGCACCUGUAAUCCCAGCUACUUGGGAGGCUGAGGCAGGGAGAAUCACUUGAACCUGGGGGGGCAGAGGUUGCAGUGAGCCAAGAUAGUGCCACUGUACUACCGCCUGGGCGACAGAGCAAGACUUUGUCUCAAAAAAAAAAAAAAAAGAAAAUAUUUGACUUUCUUUUUAAAAUGUAUAUGGUUUACAAAUAAAGUUUACAAAUGCUUUUACACUCC